GACGAACGCUGGCGGCGUGCCUAAUACAUGCAAGUUGAGCGCUUAAGGUUGGUACUUGUACCGACUGGAUGAGCAGCGAACGGGUGAGCAACGCGUGGGGGAUCUGCCUUUGAGCGGGGGACAACAUUUGGAAACGAAUGCUAAUACCGCAUAAAAACUUUAAACACAAGUUUUAAGUUUGAAAGAUGCAAUUGCAUCACUCAAAGAUGAUCCCGCGUUGUAUUAGCUAGUUGGUGAGGUAAAGGCUCACCAAGGCGAUGAUACAUAGCCGACCUGAGAGGGUGAUCGGCCACAUUGGGACUGAGACACGGCCCAAACUCCUACGGGAGGCAGCAGUAGGGAAUCUUCGGCAAUGGACGAAAGUCUGACCGAGCAACGCCGCGUGAGUGAAGAAGGUUUUCGGAUCGUAAAACUCUGUUGGUAGAGAAGAACGUUGGUGAGAGUGGAAAGCUCAUCAAGUGACGGUAACUACCCAGAAAGGGACGGCUAACUACGUG
rnacentral:rRNA from 1 species